GCAAGUCUUAUUUUGAUUAUAUUAUUAUAUAUAAUCUAUAAGAUUGUAUUAAAAUUGAAUAAAGCUUUGUUUAUAUAUCGAUAAUGACGGUAUAUAUAUCGUGUCUCGGCUAAUUACGUGCCAGCAGCCGCGGUAAUACGUAAGAGACUAGUGUUAUUCAUCUUAAUUAGGUUUAAAGGGUACCUAGACGGUCAAUAUAGCUUCUAUAAUGUUAGUACUUGACUAGAGUUUGAUAUAAGAGGGCAGUACUUGAGGAGGAGAGAUGAAAUUCUAUUGUACCAAAGGGACUCGGUAAAGGCCAAGGCAGCCCUCUAUGUAAAAACUGACGUUGAAGGACGAAGGCACAGAGCACAAACAGGAUUAGAUACCCAAGUAGUCUUUGCAGUAAAUGAUGAAUGUCAUAGGUUAGAUUAAGCUUUAAUUAAUUAGUUUAUCAGUAAUGAACUAACUAUUAAACAAUAUUUAGUCUAUAAAUGAAAGUGUAAGCAUUCCACCUCAAGAGUAAUGUGGCAACGCAGGAACUGAAAU
rnacentral:rRNA from 1 species